rnacentral:rRNA from 1 species
AACGAACGCUGGCGGCAUGCCUAACACAUGCAAGUCGAACGAGACCUUCGGGUCUAGUGGCGCACGGGUGCGUAACGCGUGGGAACCUGCCCUUAGGUUCGGAAUAACUCCCCGAAAGGGGUGCUAAUACCGGAUAAUGUCUUCGGACCAAAGAUUUAUCGCCUUUGGAUGGGCCCGCGUUGGAUUAGCUAGUUGGUAGGGUAAAAGCCUACCAAGGAGACGAUCCAUAGCUGGUCGGAGAGGAUGAUCAGCCACACUGGCACUGAGACACGGCCCAGACUCCUACGGGAGGCAGCAGUGGGGAAUAUUGGACAAUGGGCGAAAGCCUGAUCCAGCAAUGCCGCGUGAGUGAUGAAGGCCUUAGGGUUGUAAAGCUCUUUUACCCGGGAUGAUAAUGACAGUACCGGGAGAAUAAGCACCGGCUAACUACGUG